GAAUUCGGCUUCGGUAAUUCCAGCUCCAAGGGCGUAUACUAAUGUUGUUGCUGUUAAAAAGCUCGUAGUUGGACUUGGAUCUGUUCUGUGCUAGCCAUCAUUGGAGUCUCUGGAUCCACGUGGUUACUGGCUGCUUUGAUCCGUGUUUGGCACAAUUGGAUUAGAUCUUUUUCACUGGUUGACUCUGUCUGUGUGAUGGCCUCUUCACUGAGUCCAGAUCGAAUGGAGCCUCUUGGUUCGACUCUGGGGCUGCUCGCAGCCCGAGCGUGGUUCGUAAUGCUUCUCACGCAGUGUGCAUUUGCAUAAGGACAGUUGAUCGUGAUAUCGAGAACAAAACAGCGUGCUUAAGGCUGGAUCAGUAGAUGACAAAGCUUGCUAUAUCAAUGAACCGACCGGUUAUGUGCGGUUUGCAGGUUUCUGCAUGUAAUAGCGGGGAGUCUGAGCUUGUUGGCGUUGGGAAUGUACCCAUCGGCUCACCUCGGUGACCGUGGGACCACAGACCCAAUCAGCUACUCGUUUCAACGAUAUUAACAGGGACCGAUGGAGCAGUCCGUAUUGUCAGACGAGGGGUGAAAUCCUUAGACUCUGACAAGACGAACAAGGGCGAAAGCACUCUGCUAAGAGGCCUUCAUUAAUCAAGAACGAGAGUGCAGGGAUCGAAGAUGAUCAGAUACCGUCGUAGUCUGCUACUGUAAACGAUGCAAACUAGGGAUCAGUUGAUGGGACAACAUGAUUCUGUUGACUCGGUUGGUACCUCCGCUUCUCUCUUAACGCGAAAGCUGCAAGUCUUCGUGUUCAGGGGGGAGUACAGUUGCAAGGCUGAAACUUAAAGGAAUUGACGGAAUGACACCACAAGGCGUGGAUGCUGCGGCUUAAUUUGACUCAACACAGAGAAUGUUACCAGAUCAUGAGGUUUGGAGGAUUGACAGAUUGGCAGUUCUUUCUUGAUUCAGUUAAUGGUGGUGCAUGGCCGCUCCUGGUUGGUGGAGUGAUUUGUCUGGUUGAUUCCGUUAACGAACGAGAUCCCACCCCUUCGAUUUCAGUUAUAUCGUACGUAAUCAUUGGACGCUAGCUCAUGUGGUUCGUCCGUUGGUGAGAUCUAAGAUGUAUGCAAGGGGACUAUGUGUGUUGAUAACACAUUGAAGUCUGGGCCAAUAGCAGGUCUGUGAUGCUCCUAGAUGUUCUGGGCUGCACGCGGCAUACAAUGGUGAAAGCAGUAGGAUUGGUUCGGUCGAGCUCCUGUUUCGAAAGUAUUGGGAAAUCCCCUCAGAUUUGACUGUGGCUGGGAUAGACAAUUGCAACUGUUUGUCUUGAACUAGGAAUGCCUUGUAAGCACAUCUCAUUACAGUGUAUUGAAUGCGUCCCUGCCGUUUGUACACACCGCCCGUCGUUGCAAUCGAUUGGUUUGAUCGUAGAGUACUUCUGGAGAGACACCAGCAGGCUCUCUCGAGUCUGAUGAUUGGGUUGAAGUUGGGCAAUACUGUGGAACUAGAGAAUGCAAAAGUCGUAACAAGGUAAGCCGAAUUC
rnacentral:rRNA from 1 species